CUGGCGCUUGUCGAUUUGGAAUGCACAAUUCUCUCCGGUUGCAUAAAUUUGGUGGUCUUCCACUCCAAAGACCACUGAUGGAAUUUCAAGAGCCCCGCUCUCAGCAAAGUUGAUACGCUGUGCCACUUCAUAUGUUCGCAGAUCGUGGAUGGCGAGAUCCCCGUCCUGCAGAAUAAGUGUGAGAUGUAGACACAGCUGAAGUCCAGUACUGUUUCCUAGUAACAGUGGGAAAGGGUGACGUUCACAGUAACGAAAUACCUCUGAUCCUGAAGCCAAUAUGGAUUGAGAUUGUU
rnacentral:lncRNA from 1 species